GAGAAGUGCUUGUCGCAGGCCUGGAGAUGGGGACCACCCAGGCAUGCAGGGGAUGCUGCCUCUCCUCCAUCCAACAACAAGCCUGCGUGUGCCCAGCCCCCUCUGGUACACGCAUUGCUCCCCAUCCUCGGCAUUGAUCAAUUGAAAAUAAGACCUUGGAAGAACCCCUUGCAAAGCUGACAUUGUACGAGCCAAGGCAGGUAAUAAAGCGUAGAUACAGUGAGGGAGGGGGCGGAUGGCAUGACAAGUCAGAGGGUGAUGCCUGCGGCGGGGAUGCACUGAGAAUAGAGAGGGCAGGUGCGGGGCUGGAGACACACUCCUGAGAGGGAGAUGGGAGAGAGGGCGCCUCGCGGAUCCCGAGGAAGGCUGAAGACAGGAGAAGGGAGGGGUCGCACACGUUAAACGCUGCCGAAAGGCCAGGAGAGAUUAAGACAGAAAUGAAUCACUGGAUUCGGCCAGGCUGCGGUUAUUGACAACAGUGGGAAGAGCAGGUUUGGCGCCGCGGUGCCCGCAUUUGGGGUGGCGAGAACGUGAAGGAGGACCUGGCCGUGGGGUCAGCUGCACAGGCCAGGAGCUCGAGGGUGGUGGCUGGCAGAAAGUGCAGUCCAAAGUACUCUGUUUUGUUUUGAUUGUGUUUUAAAAUGGGACAAAUAACAGCAUGUGUGUUUGCUGAUGGGGAGAAUCCAGGAGAAAAACAGUGAAGUUGAGGUGAGCCUCACAGGGUCAGGGGGAAGACAGGGGAUCCCGAAGAUAACGUCUGCUACGAACUCAAUUGCAUCCGCCCCGGGCCCUAAGUUGAAGCCCUAAUCCCCACGUUGACUGCAUUUGGAGAAGGACCUUCAGCACAUGAUGGAGGGACCGAGAUGCCCAAAUCCUGGCCCUCCUGCUGGACUUUCAUUUUAAAGAACAAUAAAAUUAAUGUUAACUUCUAGCAGCUUCCAAGCUCUGUGGCCCCGGAGAGGGUCAGCGAGGGGCCUCCACUGUCUGAGUCCGCUCCUGGCAACGCCUGCUCUCUGCACUCAGAGGCCCGGUCCCGGCAGCUGCCACGUUGCUCAGAAGUUCUGGCAGGGGGAGCCUGAAACCCCUGUCUGCUGGCGACACUCCCGGAGCAGCAGGAAAUCUCUACAUUUUAUUUUUUUUCUUA
rnacentral:lncRNA from 10 species